rnacentral:rRNA from 1 species
AUGGCAGAUCGUCAGCAGGCAGAGGGCCGACGGGAGGAGGCAGGCGAGGUGGAUGUCCAUGGCAGCGGAAGGAGAGGCAAAAGGCUGGACCGUGCAGCAGCGGGCGAGGGGCUCCGGGACGGCAUGGAGGUCGAGGAAGAAGAGCUCGAGGCGGCGCUGGAGCAUGGUGGCGCGGCGGCCGGACGAAGCAGGGAGGCUCGAUGGAGGUCGCCGAUGCGGAGAGUUCGCAGGCGAGGUGCGGGCGUAGCAGAGGAGACGAGGCGGCGCUGGGCCGAGGCUUGGGCAGAGCUCCUCGGGCUGGACACUGGCAAGGAGGAAGAACCACGGAGCGGGGUCGCGAGGAACGCAAGGGUGCGCGGGCGUCGGGGCUCCUCCCUUGCGCUAUGCCUGCGAGAGCUCGCGCCUCCUGCGAGCUGCAGCACAAGGAAGCAGGGAGAGGACCCUGGGCGCGGGUGA